GCAGUCGACGAUGAAGCUUCUAGCUUGCUAGAAGUGGAUUAGUGGCGCACGGGUGAGUAAGGUAUAGUUAAUCUGCCCUACACAAGAGGACAACAGUUGGAAACGACUGCUAAUACUCUAUACUCCUGCUUAACACAAGUUGAGUAGGGAAAGUUUUUCGGUGUAGGAUGAGACUAUAUAGUAUCAGCUAGUUGGUAAGGUAAUGGCUUACCAAGGCUAUGACGCUUAACUGGUCUGAGAGGAUGAUCAGUCACACUGGAACUGAGACACGGUCCAGACUCCUACGGGAGGCAGCAGUAGGGAAUAUUGCGCAAUGGGGGAAACCCUGACGCAGCAACGCCGCGUGGAGGAUGACACUUUUCGGAGCGUAAACUCCUUUUCUUAGGGAAGAAUUCUGACGGUACCUAAGGAAUAAGCACCGGCUAACUCCGUGCCAGCAGCCGCGGUAAUACGGAGGGUGCAAGCGUUACUCGGAAUCACUGGGCGUAAAGGGCGCGUAGGCGGAUUAUCAAGUCUCUUGUGAAAUCUAAUGGCUUAACCAUUAAACUGCUUGGGAAACUGAUAGUCUGGAGUGAGGGAGAGGCAGAUGGAAUUGGUGGUGUAAGGGGGUAAAAUCCGUAGAUAUCACCAAGAAUACCCAUUGCGAAGGCGAUCUGCUGGAACUCAACUGACGCUAAGGCGCGAAAGCGUGGGGAGCAAACAGGAUUAGAUACCCUGGUAGUCCACGCCCUAAACGAUGUACACUAGUUGUUGGGGUGCUAGUCAUCUCAGUAAUGCAGCUAACGCAUUAAGUGUACCGCCUGGGGAGUACGGUCGCAAGAUUAAAACUCAAAGGAAUAGACGGGGACCCGCACAAGCGGUGGAGCAUGUGGUUUAAUUCGAAGAUACGCGAAGAACCUUACCUGGGCUUGAUAUCCUAAGAACCCUUUUAGAGAUAAGAGGGUGCUAGCUUGCUAGAACUUAGA
rnacentral:rRNA from 1 species